rnacentral:rRNA from 1 species
CAGCAGUGAGGAAUUUUGGACAAUGGGGGAAACCCUGAUCCAGCCAUCCCGCGUGUGCGAUGAAGGCCUUCGGGUUGUAAAGCACUUUUGGCAGGAAAGAAACGUCAUGGGUUAAUACCCCGUGAAACUGACGGUACCUGCAGAAUAAGCACCGGCUAACUACGUGCCAGCAGCCGCGGUAAUACGUAGGGUGCAAGCGUUAAUCGGAAUUACUGGGCGUAAAGCGUGCGCAGGCGGUUCGGAAAGAAAGAUGUGAAAUCCCAGAGCUUAACUUUGGAACUGCAUUUUUAACUACCGAGCUAGAGUGUGUCAGAGGGAGGUGGAAUUCCGCGUGUAGCAGUGAAAUGCGUAGAUAUGCGGAGGAACACCGAUGGCGAAGGCAGCCUCCUGGGAUAACACUGACGCUCAUGCACGAAAGCGUGGGGAGCAAACAGGAUUAGAUACCCUGGUAGUCCACGCCCUAAACGAUGUCAACUAGCUGUUGGGGCCUUCGGGCCUUGGUAGCGCAGCUAACGCGUGAAGUUGACCGCCUGGGGAGUACGGUCGCAAGAUUAAAACUCAAAUGAAUUGACGG